CUGGUAGCAUAGCCCAGUCACAAAAAUCGCA
rnacentral:piRNA from 1 species